rnacentral:rRNA from 1 species
UACGUAGGUGGCAAGCGUUGUCCGGAUUUACUGGGCGUAAAGGAUGCGUAGGCGGAUGUUUAAGUGAGAUGUGAAAUACCCGAGCUCAACUUGGGUGCUGCAUUUCAAACUGGAUAUCUAGAGUGCAGGAGAGGAAAGCGGAAUUCCUAGUGUAGCGGUGAAAUGCGUAGAGAUUAGGAAGAACACCAGUGGCGAAGGCGGCUUUCUGGACUGUAACUGACGCUGAGGCAUGAAAGCGUGGGGAGC